ensembl:rRNA 5S_rRNA 5S ribosomal RNA
GUCUACGGCCAUACCACCCUGAACACACCCUAUCUCGGAAGCUAAGCAGGGUCAGGCCUGGUUAGUACUUGGAUGGGAGAAAAACACAUCCUUGAGGGCCAGGUGGUAGUGCAUC